rnacentral:rRNA from 1 species
UUCUGCUACCCUAAACACACUUAUUCUCUCUGAUUCCAGAAGCUAAGCAGGAUCAGGUUUGUUAGUAGCUGGAUGGGAGACCACCAGGAAAGAAUCUUGCCCCAAAC